rnacentral:miRNA from 12 species
AUGUUAUGUAUAUAUGUGUGUGUGUGUGUGUGUGUGUGUGUAUAUAUACACACACUUAAA